rnacentral:misc_RNA from 1 species
CAAAAAGCCACCUUUCGCAUCUGAAAAGCGUAUUUUCUUUCAGCUAGUCCUCUUCUUCUUUUCAAAAUUUAAAUUUACAUUCAAAGAAUUCUAAAAUCCCAAGUGACAGAAACCAAAAAAAUUCGAGCUUGNNNNNNUGGUCCAAUUUCUAGGCACAGUUCGUGUAUCUCCUUCUCUACCGAGUUUUGAUCACCACGGACGCCAAUUCUCUUUCCAGAGCUCUUCACUUUCACUCUCCCGC